UUGAACUAAAAUUUGACACAGGACCUGGGGUUUCCCACACAAGUGAGAAAGAAAUUGACUCUGGAAGACUUGGUCAAAAGUCUUUGAUUAUAAUUUUUUCUGCUGGUGGUUUUUCAGAAUGGAACUCCAGUCUUAUCAGCCAGCAUAGCUGGAGCCAGGUGUGACAGGUUGAUGGAGUAUUCUAGGAAAGAACAUGCCUUCAGCUUAAGACUCUGGGAUGGAUCACAGUAUUACCUUGCAGCACCCUCUCAAAAGCUAAUGGAGGACUGGAUGCAAGCAUUAUAUAGUCACUUGGAUCCAGCAAGGCCUCAGAUAAAACCAUGGGUUUCCACAGGCAGAGGUGCUGCUGAAAAGCAGGUUACGAAAGUUCUCCUUCCCAGGAGAACUCCUUCCUUCAAAAUUAUACAAGAAAAAAGACCUAUGGGCAGUUCUGGUAAAUCAGAAGGAUUACCUCACGCUUUUAGCAUUACCUUUUCUCAGAAUUCUGAAGACUCUGAUGCUUCAUCUGUGACCUCCAUAGUAUCAGAUCCAGCAAUUCAGGGGAUAUCCACUCCAUCAGAUCCCCCACCAAGCUAUGAUGGGUCAGAAGUGUAUAAUGGAGGAGACAAGGGGAUUCUGGAACUGGAAGCUCAAGAAAUCAGAGCUGAACUCACCCCUGAAGUAACCAAAUGUUCAGAUGAUCCUCAAACUCAAGGCCUAAAGGAAUCGGAUGUCAAGAAGCAGAAGAAACGGAAAGAGAAGAAUGUAUUCAAGAAACUUUUUUCCAAAAAAUAA
rnacentral:lncRNA from 1 species